CGCACCUUGCGCUCCCUGGUAUUCCGGGGAGCAUGCCUGUUUGAGUGUCAUGAACUCUUCAACUCCCCAAUUUCUUGUAGAUUGUGUGGAUGUUUGGAUUUUGAAUGUUGCUGGCUCUUCGGAGCGAAGCUCGUUCGUAAUACAUUAGCAUUUCUAAUUCGAACUCGGAUUGACUCAGUGUAAUAGACUAUUCGCUGAGGACACUAGUUUCUACUAGUGGCCGUGUUCAAUACAAGAGAAGCUUCUAAUCCCUCUAGUCAUUUUUGAUUUAGACCUCAAAUCAGGUAGGAUUACCCGCUGAACUUAA
rnacentral:misc_RNA from 1 species